rnacentral:rRNA from 1 species
GGUCCUACGGGGCGCAGCAGUAGGGAAUCUUCCACAAUGGGCGAAAGCCUGAUGGAGCAACGCCGCGUGAGUGAAGAAGGUCUUCGGAUCGUAAAACCCUGUUGUUAGAGAAGAAAGUGCGUGAGAGUAACUGUUCACGCUUCGACGGUAUCUAACCAGAAAGCCACGGCUAACUACGUGCCAGCAGCCGCGGUAAUACGUAGGCGGCAAGCGUUAUCCGGAUUUAUUGGGCGUAAAGGGAACGCAGGCGGACUUUUAAGUCUGAUGUGAAAGCCUUCGGCUUAACCGGCGUA